AGUGAACGCUGGCGGUAGGCCUAACACAUGCAAGUCGAACGGCAGCACAGUAAGAGCUUGCUCUUACGGGUGGCGAGUGGCGGACGGGUGAGGAAUACAUCGGAAUCUACUUUUUCGUGGGGGAUAACGUAGGUAAACUUACGCUAAUACCGCAUACGACCUACGGGUGAAAGCAGGGGAUCUUCGGACCUUGCGCGAUUGAAUGAGCCGAUGUCGGAUUAGCUAGUUGGCGGGGUAAAGGCCCACCAAGGCGACGAUCCGUAGCUGGUCUGAGAGGAUGAUCAGCCACACUGGAACUGAGACACGGUCCAGACUCCUACGGGAGGCAGCAGUGGGGAAUAUUGGACAAUGGGCGCAAGCCUGAUCCAGCCAUACCGCGUGGGUGAAGAAGGCCUUCGGGUUGUAAAGCCCUUUUGUUGGGAAAGAAAAGCAGCAGGUUAAUACCCCGCGGUUCUGACGGUACCCAAAGAAUAAGCACCGGCUAACUUCGUG
rnacentral:rRNA from 1 species